rfam:TPA: Bos taurus chromosome 25, whole genome shotgun sequence.
ACCCUGGUGGUCCAGUGGCUAGGACCCCAUGCUCCCAAUGCAGGGGGCCCGGGUUCAAUCCCUGGUCAGGGAA